rnacentral:rRNA from 1 species
CCUACGGGAUGCAGCAGUGAGGAAUAUUGGUCAAUGGACGAGAGUCUGAACCAGCCAAGUAGCGUGAAGGAUGACUGCCCUAUGGGUUGUAAACUUCUUUUAUAUGGGAAUAAAAUCUUCUACGUGUAGUAUUUUGUAUGUACCAUAUGAAUAAGGAUCGGCUAACUCCGUGCCAGCAGCCGCGGUAAUACGGAGGAUCCGAGCGUUAUCCGGAUUUAUUGGGUUUAAAGGGAGCGUAGGCGGAUUGUUAAGUCAGUUGUGAAAGUUUGAGGCUCAACAGUAAAAUUGCAGUUGAUACUGGAUGUCUUGAGGACAGUAGAGGUGGGCGGAAUUCGUGGUGUAGCGGUGAAAUGCUUAGAGAUCACGAAGAACUCCGAUUGCGAAGGCAGCUUACUGGACUGUAACUGACACUGAUGCUCGAAAGUGUGGGUAUCAAACAGGAUUAGAUACCCUUGUAGUC